UACGAAGGGGGCUAGCGUUGUUCGGAUUUACUGGGCGUAAAGAGCACGUAGGCGGAUCUUUAAGUCAGGGGUGAAAUCCCGAGGCUCAACCUCGGAACUGCCUUUGAUACUGGAGAUCUUGAGUCCGGAAGAGGUGAGUGGAACUGCGAGUGUAGAGGUGAAAUUCGUAGAUAUUCGCAAGAACACCAGUGGCGAAGGCGGCUCACUGGUCCGGUACUGACGCUGAGGUGCGAAAGCGUGGGGAGCAAACAGG
rnacentral:rRNA from 1 species